UGCGUAGGCGGCCUUUUAAGUCAGAGGUGAAAUGUGACGGCUCAACCGUCAAACUGCCUCUGAAACUGAAAGGCUUGAGUUCGAGAGAGGAAGGUGGAAUUCCAGGUGUAGCGGUGAAAUGCGUAAAUAUCUGGAGGAACACCAGUGGCGAAGGCGGCCUUCUGGCUCGAAACUGACGCUCAGGCACGAAAGCAUGGGGAGCGAACAGGAUUAGAUACCCUGGUAGUCC
rnacentral:rRNA from 1 species